AACGCGAAGAACCUUACCUGGGCUCGAAGCACAGUGGACCGGGGUAGAAUAUCCCUUUCGCAAGAACUGCUGUGGAGGUGCUGCAUGGCUGUCGUCAGCUCGUGUCGUGAGAUGUUGGGUUAAGUCCCGCAACGAGCGCAACCCUCGUCCUAUGUUGCCAGCGGGUAAUGCCGGGGACUCAUAGGAGACUGCCGGGGUCAACUCGGAGGAAGGUGGGGAUGACGUCAAGUCCUCAUGCCCCUUAUGUCUUGGGCUGCAAACAUGCUACAAUGGCCGGUACAAAGGGUUGCAAGACCGCAAGGUGGAGCGAAUCCCAAAAAGCCGGUCUCAGUUCGGAUUGGGGUCUGCAACUCGACCCCAUGAAGUCGGAGUCGCUAGUAAUCGCGAAUCAGCAACGUCGCGGUGAAUACGUUCCCGGGCCUUGUACACACCGAGUAUA
rnacentral:rRNA from 1 species